CUUCAACCGCUCCUCUACACUCAUUCAGCACCAGCGCUCCCACACAGGCGAGAGGCCAUACCGCUGCGCUGUGUGUGGCAAGGGCUUCUGUCGUUCCUCCACGCUGCUGCAGCACCAUCGCGUGCAUAGUGGGGAGCGACCUUAUAAGUGUGAUGACUGUGGAAAGGCCUUCUCGCAAAGCUCCGACCUCAUCCGCCACCAGCGGACCCACGCGGCGGGCCGCCGCUAACCAGUCAAUGGUGGGGAGGUGAUAUGCAGGAGAUGGGAUCAGGGAACUUGAAGAACCUGUUUAAGAGGAUAGAGGAAAAGCUGGAGGAGAAUAGAAAGAUGAAAUAUUCUAGAAGAUGGGUCAGGGUUCAGGAAGUCACAUGCCCUCGAGAAGUAUGAGAAUUGGGCUAUGAAGGGGUUGGAGGGAGGCCAGACAGGCAGCAGGAAGCACCAGGAGAGAGCAGUGCUGCUUGCCUCAGCAGCAGUGAGCUCUUUAUCUGGGAGGCCCUGUUCUGGCUAAGUACUAGAUGGGGAGGGGGGGCGGGCAAGGGAGUGUCAGUUAGAAUAGGGUAGCUUAGAUCUGUAGCUGCUGAGACCCAUGUGAAACCAGGAAGAGGGCAAAGGGUAGGUAGGUGGGGAGUGAGGCCCAAGGGUAGGGUCUGGACCUCAGAGCAAACCCCAUCCUGCCUUGUCUUCCUCAGGCUUUGGAGCCGUUUGAGUUCAAUAAAACUUUUAUGUGGUAAGAGUCUUGUCCUU
rnacentral:lncRNA from 1 species